CAGAGUUGGAAGGGGACUCAGAGAACCCCCGUCCAAAUACCCAUUUUACUGAUGAGCCUCUGAAGUCGGUGCGAACUAUUUACCCUGAUUGAUAGCAAAAGGAAAAACAUGUCUGGUCCUACCCUGUCCUUCACUCUUCCUGCCUUGAAAACAGACACCAUAGCAGGACCUGUGGCAGUCUUCCUGUGACUAUUAGGUCACAGCAUGCAGAUGAAAAGCCACCUGUCAAGGAUAAUUGAGAGCGAGAAACAACGAACCUGGGAACUUCAUUAUAUCGUGGAGUUACUAAAGUAACUGUAGAACUGUGA